rnacentral:rRNA from 1 species
GACGAACGCUGGCGGCGUGCUUAACACAUGCAAGUCGAACGGAAAGGCCCUGCUUUUGUGGGGUGCUCGAGUGGCGAACGGGUGAGUAACACGUGAGUAACCUGCCCUUGACUUUGGGAUAACUUCAGGAAGCUGGGGCUAAUACCGGAUAGGAGCUCCUGCUGCAUGGUGGGGGUUGGAAAGUUUCGGCGGUUGGGGAUGGACUCGCGGCUUAUCAGCUGGUUGGUGGGGUAGUGGCUUACCAAGGCUUUGACGGGUAGCCGGCCUGAGAGGGUGACCGGCCACAUUGGGACUGAGAUACGGCCCAGACUCCUACGGGAGGCAGCAGUGGGGAAUAUUGCACAAUGGGCGGAAGCCUGAUGCAGCAACGCCGCGUGCGGGAUGACGGCCUUCGGGUUGUAAACCGCUUUCGCCUGUGACGAAGCGUGAGUGACGGUAAUGGGUAAAGAAGCACCGGCUAACUACGUG